CUUGGGAAGCUAAAGAUCUGGAGAAUUUUUCUCCAUCCCAAGAAUUCAUUGAGGAGGAAGAGUUGUUUUCAGCAAUUCCGUCCACUUUCUGUCUACACAUAUUGAAUAUGUGUAAAUGUGUACACAAGAGAAUUGUGCCCUACUUUUAUAAGCAAGCAACAGAAAAAAUUAGUGAGCUUUAUCUUUCUUAAAUAUGUCAAACUCUUCACUGUUCCCUUAUUAAAGGGAAAACUGCAGGUUGUGUGAAGCUGAAACCUGAACAGCAAGUGCCAAAUAAAACUGAUGGGAAAGGCUUGCAAAGGUGGCAGAAGCACAAUCAAGACUGCAGUUGGACAUACUGCAGACAAGAUGAGCAGACAGGUCUUCAGCUCAGCUACCAGGUAGUGUGAAGUAGCUGUAAUGUUGGCUUAACUCAUGACUGAAAGACUCCUCUGCUGACAGAAGGUCACCAGGAUGGCGCUUCUGCUGCCUGAAAAAGCUCCUGCUUUUCUGUUCGGUGUAAGCACCCUUUCCUGAGCAAACAUACCUGCAGAUGACAAUUCCUGAAUAUAAAGAAAACCCCAACUAUUGAAAAAGCUGAAGACAGUCCCUUCUGUGAAGGCUAAUUAUAACAUAAGAUGUGAGGAAUGGAUAUUUUCUACAUGGGGCGUCAGAGAAAAGACUUUCUGGGACACCUGGCACAGGUUUUUACUUGUGAGCAAGAGGCGUUGACAAAGAAUGCUUAUAAAGGCCAGAAAAACCCAAACCCACCUUUUAUUCACUCAAGAUCAUUCACAUCAAAGGAACCCAUCAUUUCUUUCAUGCAAAUACUGUGGGGAUUGCUUCACCCAGGACUGGAAAGCAGCCAGGCUGCAUAGCAUGACAGCUACUCAGCAGUCCACAGCAAAGCUAUACGCCACGAAGGAGCGGGAAUGGAUUGCUGGUUUUAAAUCUGAUACACAUUUGCAGCAAAUGUUCAGAAAGCACUUUAUUUCUGUGUUUUGACCAUAUCUUCUCUAAUGUGCCGUUUCAUGAGCCUUAUGGUAUAGCCUCAAAUCUUCACUUUUUCCCCUAUGUAAAGUAUUAAAGUAGUACGUCUCUACGUAAUUAAAUGGUCUUACGGAUCUGUGUGCCUACUCCAUCUCUUAGUAGCUGCAAAAUGGCUUCCUUACCUUUGCAACCAGUAUUAGAGAUUUCUCUAUGCUUGUUUACUAGACAUUAAGUUGUUUCCAAAAGAAGUGAAAGGUUUUAGGGUUCUUUUGGUUUUGGCGUUUUCUCAUAACAUCACUAGUACCUCUUAAAUUUUUUUUCUGUCAUGUGUGAC